UGAAAAUUCUAUGCGACAUAAGAGCCAUGUCACCGUAAACUGACCCAUUUCUCCACUAAAUAUAAAAGUCCCCACCGUUUUCUUCACCUAAAAAAACACCCACGAGCUGUGAUCCCAAGUCCCAUGGGCUGAAUCAAAGUCUAUUCAGAUCUUCAAAAAAUUCAAGAUUUGCAAAUUCAGUUCUUGAUUGUUACUACAGAUUUGAGGAGCAAUGGCAGUUAAAGGGAGACAUUCCCGAGUUGGGCCUCGAAAAUCCUCAAAUUCUACACUAAUCUUUGGUGGAUUUAUUUUGUUGUCAUUUGUGGGUCUCAUUUUUCUUGCUUUCCGAAUUAUCUCCAUUCCUAGUAGUUCAAAGGGUUCUCAGAAAGCACAUGAUCUUAGCUCUAUAGCAUACAACACUGUUCAAAGACAAGAUGAUGAUGACGAUGGAAAAAAAGAUCAGUGGGUUGAAGUGAUUUCUUUAGAACCAAGAGCCUAUGUUUACCAUAACUUCUUGCAUUUCCAUUCCAAUUAAUUCUCAUGCACUAUUGGACAUCGGCACACAAGUGUUUCCCUUGAGGCGAUCUCAGGUAAGUCCUUAAUUUUUCUUCUUUCUUUUUACCUAAUAUACCACCAGGCCUAAUUCCUAACAAGCAUGUAUAAAACAACUUGAAAUGUACCAAAUAUUUUAUGAUCUGUGUCACAGAGUUCUGAUAUUACGAAUGAUGAUGCUAGUAGCACAAGUAAUGAUGAAACAUAAAAGCAAGAAAAAAGUGGAGCAGGAGUGCACACACUUCCUUGUACAACAACCGCAACAUACCCAAUGAAAUCUCAAGUGGAGGGUUUGGAGAGGGUAGAGCAGAAUGAGAAUCUAGGAUUUUGGGACAUGAGUGCACCACUAAAGUAGAAAAAAGAAAGUACUAAAUGGGAAUCAAUCCCCUAAAACCAGUAGUGGAGCCACAUGCAUCCAAGGGGAGGUUUUCGCUGAAAAAUUACACUGUGUACAUACGUAAAAAUAACUUUUUUAUGUAUAUAUACUAUGUGUUGAACCCCUUGAUUUCUUUGUAUAUUUACUUUGUUAUAUUUUGACACCCCUUAGUAAAAAUCCUUGUUCCACCACUGUCUAAACAUGGGUGCCAAGAGUUAAUAUUAGAUCAAUCCUAGGAAAUAUGUACAUAAAAUACUGAAUUAUUCGGAAUGACUGUGGGUAGAGUGUACGGAGACUUGAUCACACUUCCUUGUAGCUGUGAAAAUAUUUAAGCCAAUCAAAUGUUGUUGCAUAAAACUAACUUGAUGAUCUUGCUCUUUGUAUUGCGGAUUAUCAAAUAAAAAGUCCACCUUGAGUUGCACAUAGUCAUUAUCAAAACCUAUUGGAUUUUGUUGAAGUUGCACCCUUGUUCUUGUUGGAAUUCUUACUGAAGGAGCCCUCAGAGCCACAUAUAAAGCUGUUGUUCCUUUUGGAUGAUUCAGGAAAAUGUCUCAGAGAUAUCAGCCUCAGAGGUAAAUGGUUUGAUAGAUAAACAAAUUCCUGAACUCUGGUGGUUGAAUGAGGGAUUUUAGUUUUGCAAAAUUUUGAUUGAGUUCACCAUGGUUUCUGCAAAGAGAGGUAAGGAUCUCUAUCUCUCUAUCAUCUCUCUGUCUGUCGUUGGUUGGUUUGGGAAAAUCCAGAUUUUGUGACUGGGUUAAGAUAAAAAGUCUUUGCUUUGUUGUUUAAUUGCAGUAUGAGACUCAUGGAGAAUUAGCAAUAGGCUGGUCUGGCUUUGAAGAGCGGCAAAAACACUAUCUGUAUAAAACUAUUGUCAAAACCCUCAGAACGUGUAAAUGGGAUUAGUGAACUUAUCACCGCGAUUCUGUUUAUUUGAUAUGCAUACAGCGAUGAUGUUCAAUGUAUCCCUGAUUGUCUAUUGUAUUUCAUCAUGCUUUUAUUUUAGGCAAACAAGUGCUUUAUUUCGUUAAUAUAGUAUAAAGUAGCUGAUCCUUAGCUAAAUACUAUGCAUUGCUUAAGCUGGUCGAACAUAGGGUCUGCUUUGACUGCUAGAUUAAGAUACAGCCUAGAGGAUGCACUCUCUUAUGGAGCGCUCACAUUUAUGUAUAAAUCACAUAUUUUUCGUUCUCACGCUGGUCAGUGUUGAUCUUGACUAAUCUCUGAUAGCUGAAAGAGGUCUUCUAUCAAACGGACGGCUAACGGUAUCAUUUGUCUGGUUCCUUCCAGCUAUUCUUCAUGUAUGUGGUUGAUUUCUUACUGGAAAUUAGAGAAUGAAAAAAGAAUAUGGCGUAAAAGGAUUUCUUAUUAUGAUGUUAAUGUUGGUUAACAAUAUGAGUCAGAAGAAUGCUGGUGCUGGUACUUUUCUUUCACUUGCUUUUAUCUGUGAAAGACCUUUUUUUUACUGAUUGUAUAGAGAGUUUUUAAUGAAAAUUAUAGGGAAAAAUGAUCAUUUGUUGUUGGUCAUGGGCUUUCAACUGUUAGAGAGGGAGCUAUUUUGUCUGUGGUGUAACUUACAUCUACUUUUGGUUUUCAUGGCAAGAGGCGAAUUUGUCAUUAUCGGCAGCAAUUGCCCUCAUAGAGUACUAUGUUAUACUAUAUCAUGUUGGCAAAAGUGUUAGUCCACCAAUACAACAGAAGUGAGUCUAUAUUCUUGUAGACAUGCUUUUAGAUAUCUAACUUCUGUUUUAUGCUUUCAAUGACUACCCUUUAUAUUUAUUAGUUUGACAUUGGCCGAAGAUGCCUGGUUGCAGUUUCUGCAUUGUUCUGUCUUUCUGAUCAUUGCAGGGAACGCAUCACCAUUACUUUGAAUCAUCUCUGUAUACGAUCAUGCACCACCCACAACAUUCUUUUAACCAAGGCCCUUUUCCAUAUACGGGUGGUUAGCUUGAAGGAUUUGUUGUUCUAUCUGAUAAUUAGCAACCCAAGUAAUUGGUUUGUUGUGGUACCAUAGAAUUUUCAUUUAUUUAUUUAUUUAUUAAGGUAUGGUAAAUUUUAUUAAUGAAGUACCAAGCUGGUACAGGAAUUACAACAUAAAGAAGAACUCAGACCAAUCAACCAUUACAUUCUUCUCCCUAACUACUCUAGGGAAUCAAGAUAUUGAUCCAUAUCCUCUAACAAGCCCUCCUACACCAAUAGUACAGAUACUGGAUACACUUGUUUUUUUACCACUGCAAUGUGACUCUUUUUGCCUUCAAAGCAUCUCUUAUUUCUCUUCAACCAUAGAGUCCAUAAAAUACAGAGUGGGAUUGUUUUCCAAAUCUGCUUCAGCCUUUUCGUUGUCUUCUGAUUCUGCCAGCAUACCAACAGGUUCUUAACAUUAUGCGGCAUCACCCUACAGCCAGGUUCCACAUAUAAAAAAUAGAUUCCAGCACUGCCUUGAAAACUUACAAUGGAUAAGAAGAUGAUUCACAGUCUCCUGAGCUUCCUCACAUAAAAAACAUCUAUUACCCAAUGCAAAACCUCUCUUUUGUAAGUUGUCUUGGGUUAAACAGGCCUCCAAAGAAGCAAUCCAUCCAAAGCAUGCAACCUUGGUUGGAGCCUCUGUCUUCCAAAGCAUUUUCCAUGGCCACAUUACAUCUCAUUGCCCCUCUUGCUUCUGCAAGUUUUUAUAACUACUUUUAACAGAAAAUUUCUUGUCCUUGCUAGCAGUCCAAAUCAGAGUAUCUGCUCUAUUGUCCACCAAAACAGUAGUAUUUAACUGCUGUUACAAUUGACAGGACUCCUCCAUCUGCCAGUCAUUUAAUCCUCUCCUAGAAUUGAUCUACCAUCCUGAAUUUGAGUAGAAUUUAUCCAGAAAUCCUUCCUUGUUUGUUGAGCAGCUAUACAUUACUGGAAAUUUUGUUUUAAAGCAUUCAUUUCCUGCCCAGACAUCUGUCCAGAAUUUAACCUUGCAACCAUUUCCCACCUCUAUUCUUAUACAAUUCUGGAAUUCUGUCCAUAAUAUACUUAUAUUCCUCCAAACUUCCCUCUAUCCGAAACUGGGACUGGACCAGGCUCCAGAUAUCGUGUUUGUCAUAUUUGGCAUCAUGGUACCAUAGAAUUUUCAUACUAUGAAAACUUUCAGACAGUGGAUCUCCACCGUGCAUAUCAAUCAUCAUCAUAGUUUGAAUUUGGCAGUUGUUGUUAAUAAACUUUUCUGAAAAAAACACGUCCCUUGAUAUCGACGAGUAAGAAAGAACACAUCUGUUCAUAUUCAAGCGUGGGGUGCGGGGAUUUUUUUUAAUUAUAAGUAAUUAGAUUUUAAAUAGGGGUAUUUAAGUAAUUUAACUUUUAAAUUUAGGAGUUCCUGCUUUUAAUAGAAUAUAGAUUAGUAAUCUCUCACAUUGCAAAAUCUUUUUGAAAAAUCUUGCUAUGUUAGGGAAUUAAGUGCAAUAUCGCUAAUAGUUGUAAUUAGGCUACCCUAGUAGUCAGCCCGUGUUAAAGUUCCAUGACAAAAGUACCUUUAAGAGCCCGUUGUGUUAGCGGAUUAUAAAUAGCUGAUAAAAUUUAAGUACUGAAAAGUAUUUUAAUUCUAAGUGUUGAAACUGAUUUUGUGAAUAAACAGUUGCAUAUUUGGAUGGAAGUACUGAAAGUCUGAAACUGAUAACAAGCUGUUGAUUUAUUUGGUAGAAAAAUACUGAUAAGUGCUUCUUUUGUUAAAAUGACUAAAAUUCCCUUACAGAUAUUACAAAUAACUUCUUUCUCCAUCAGUCCAUCCCAAUUUAAGUGUCUUAGUUUGCCUAGGCACGAAGUUUAAGAAAUAAAGAGACUUUUGAAUUUUGUGGUUCUAAAUUAAAUAUGUGUAUACAACACAACAACAACAACAACAACAACAACAACAACAUAACCAGUGAAAUCCCACAAUGUGGGGGUCUGGGGAGGGUAAAAUUUACGCAGACCUUACCCCUACCUUGGAAAUUAGGGAAAUUAAAGACGUGUGUAAUGUGCUGAAAUGCCCUUUGCUUAUAUUUCUUGGCCGUGUGUCUGCGCCUGAGCAUGUCUACUGAAAUAUCUCUCUUCAAGUGGCUUAGUUGUUGAUUAGCUUCAACACAAAGAGAUACUUGAAUUUCAUUUCUAUGUACGGUUGAUAUUGUAGACUUUUUCAUUUUAACUUUUGAUUUUUAAUUGUCUCGAAGCUUCUAUUUUGCCUAUAAGUCAUCAUGUAGUGCAAGGGGUAUAGUUAGAGACGUACUGAAGUAGAUUUUUUUAUUUUACUUUUUGUGUUCUAGAUGUAAAAUGGUUUCAUAGACAGAAGGCAAAUUCCUGAACUCUAAUGGUUGAACGGGGGAUUUUAAUUUUGCAAAAUAUUGAUUAAGGUCACCAUGGUUGCUACUAAAAGAU